UACGGGGGGGGCAAGCGUUGUUCGGAAUUACGUGGGCGUAAAGGGCUCGUAGGCGGCCAACUAAGUCAGACGUGAAAUCCCUCGGCUUAACCGGGGAACUGCGUCUGAUACUGGAUGGCUUGAGGUUGGGAGAGGGAUGCGGAAUUCCAGGUGUAGCGGUGAAAUGCGUAGAUAUCUGGAGGAACACCGGUGGCGAAGGCGGCAUCCUGGACCAAUUCUGACGCUGAGGAGCGAAAGCCAGGGGAGCAAACGGG
rnacentral:rRNA from 1 species